GCCGUUUGCGGCGGCUGUUGCUCCGAGAAGUAUGGCGGUGUAGUAAACACUUGCGCCAAUACUUUGCCGAGUAACCGCUGCUAGCAAUGGAGAAGUCCCUCGUUCAACCCCUCGAGCAGUUUCUGCUGCUUGCGAAGACUGCUCGUGGUGCAGCCAUCGUGGAACUGAUUAAGCAAGUUCUAGAGGCACCCGGAGUCUAUGUCUUCGGAGAGCUGCUGGACAUGCCAAACAUUCAAUCGAUGGUUGUUGAGUCAUCGCCAGAGGCGUUACCUUACUGGCGUUUACUUCAUUUGUUUGCAUUUGGUACCUACGCAGAUUAUAAAGAAAACAAAGCUCAACUUCCUGAGAUGACACCAACACAAACAAAGAAGUUGAAGCAUUUAACUAUAGUUUCAUUAGCAAACAAAUCUAAGUGCAUCCCUUACUCCGUCUUGUUACAAGAACUUGACAUCAGCAGUCUGCGAGGGCUGGAGGAUCUAAUAAUCGAGGUGAUAUACGCGAACGUUGUUCGCGGUAAGCUCGAUCAGAAGCGGCAGUGCCUAGAGAUAGAUUACACGAUCGGUCGCGACAUUCGCAUGGAGCCAGCUAUCAUCGGCAUACUCCAGGAAUGGUGCGACAACUGUGAGCUAACCCUAGCAAAUAUCGAAGAGCAAGUGAAGAAGGCCAACACGCAGCGAGAUCACCACACGAAGAUCAAAACUACAAUUGAGACUGAGGUGGCGAAUAUCAAGAAGACGCUCAAGGCGCAGGCGCAGGAAUAUGACGAGUCGAUGGCAGUCGACUCCGCCCAACCCGUCGUCACGCAGCCGGAGAAACCUGCCAAGAAAUCAUCGAAAACAAAAGGGCUGCGUGGAAGUGGAGGCAAAUUCUGGUCGAAAUCAUCGUCGUGAGAGCAGUUUGUAGUGGAUCUGCAGUUUCCCUAGAGAGUGCGAGAGAGAUGGAGAGAGAGAGAGCGAGGGAGAGAGAGAGAGAGAGAGAGAGAGAGAGAGAGAGAGAGA